CAUCAAACCAAGCAGAUUUUACUAGAUUACGGGAAGAUUUCCACCUGCAAAACCGACUAAAGUGUCUGCGGUGGCAAUUCAUGUAAAUAACCUCUUGACUGUUAACUUCCCAUUUCGUGACAGAACCCGGUAUGAUGGUUGGAGACUAAUGGCCAUAGCAACAGACACUGCGAGGUGUUUCUCGACACCCGACGAACGUGGUUGAGGUUGGAGCAUUGGCAAGCUGUCGGCACACCACAGUCAUCCUGGCACUGGGUACGCAAACACAUAUUCUCACCCUCUUUCUUUAUUUCUCUCCCCCUCACAAACCAACACUGUGUUCACACACACACACACACACACACACACACACACACACACACACACACACACACAUUUCCUCGGUGUUAAAAGGCAGGGCUGAG
ensembl:lncRNA